CAAUCACAUCCCAAAAAAUAACACUUCUUAAAUGUGACUGUUGAUGCCACGCGACAUUUUGGUUGGGCAUGUGAACGUGGAAGUUUAAAGGGAAUAAUCAGGCGCGGUUGAACAUGUGUAUUGUAACUUAUUGAACCUCAGCACGAUUUAAAGAGUGUUGAUGGUUACUUAUAUUUCCACAUUAUAGCUUAAAUUGAACUAGCAGCAC
rnacentral:lncRNA from 1 species